rnacentral:rRNA from 1 species
GUGUCGAUGAAGAACGCAGCCAACUGUGUGAAUUAAUGUGAAUUGCAGACUGCUUUGAACAUCGACUUCUUGAACGCACAUUGCGGCCGUAGGCUUGCCUAGGGCCACGUCUUGCCGAGGGUCGGCU